rnacentral:rRNA from 1 species
CACGUAGGGCGCAAGCGUUGUCCGGAAUUAUUGGGCGUAAAGAGCUCGUAGGCGGUCUGUUGCGUCUGCUGUGAAAACUCGGGGCUUAACCCCGAGCCUGCAGUGGAUACGGGCAGACUAGAGGUAGGUAGGGGAGAAUGGAAUUCCCGGUGUAGCGGUGAAAUGCGCAGAUAUCGGGAGGAACACCGGUGGCGAAGGCGGUUCUCUGGGCCUUACCUGACGCUGAGGAGCGAAAGCGUGGGGAGCGAACAGGAUUGAGAUACCCGU